GAAGAGUUAUCUUUUCUUUUUAACUGUUUAUGGCCCUGAAAUUGGAUUAUCCAGAGAUAGGGCUGUAAGGCAGGCAGAGCAGUUCACCCUAUGAACUGUCAGGUGCGGUCAUGACGACCCUUGAAAAUGCGGAGGAGAUAUUUAUAUCACGCCAAAUCGUACCCAUAACCGCAUCAGGUCUCCAAGGUUAGCAGCCUCUGGUCAAUAGAA
rnacentral:rRNA from 1 species